CAAGUAUCUCAAGUGGUCGCUAGGGUCAAACCUAGAGGAAAGUCCGGACUUCAUGAUGGCCCAUCGUUAAAGGGUAGGUGCCAGUGUGAGCUGGGAGGGAGUGAUCUUUCGGAGAAAAGGGCAACAGAAAGUUAUACCGCCCCCGCUAACCUAUAGAGCCGAAUUGCAGGUAAAAUCGCACUUUAGAUCGCAAAUAGAAACGCAUAGUUUGUCGCAGAAACUCCCAAAAGCUGACCCGGAACGAACUGAGAAAUAGGGUCUCAAGUCAGGGAGAAGAGCGUAAUGUAAAUCGAACUACAAGCAUUGGAUACACUCGACACUAUAAGUUAGCGGGGGUAAGGGUGAAAUGGUGGUGUAAGAGACCACCGGCUCGCUUAGCAAUAAGCAAGUGCGUGGUAACCCCCACCUGAAGCAAGGUCAGAACCGCUUAGAUAGAUGACCACAUAAACAGGAUCCGGCUUAUGGGAUACUUGCACU
rnacentral:RNase_P_RNA from 1 species